ACAUAUUUUGAUAAAGUUACAUUUCUGAAUAUAUGUGUGUGUGUGUGUGUGUAUAUAUAUAUAUACACACACACACACACACAUACAUACACACACACACAC
rnacentral:miRNA from 1 species